rnacentral:tRNA from 1 species
UCCAUUGUGGCCUAAUGGUAAAGAAUCCACCUGCAAUGUGGGAGACCUGGGUUCGAUCCCUGCAUUGGGA